GCUCCAUCCGCAACUUCGCCAGCAAGGGUUAAAAAUGGUGGCGAGGCUUAGCCACAUGACGAGAUCAGAUGGAAGGGAAGAGCCCCUUCCCACGACGACCUCUAAGCCAAAUAGGCCAAACGACGAGAAAGGGUCAACGAACGACAAUAUUGGUGCUACGCGCGGACAAGGUAAUACAAAGUGCUUUUUUCUCAUUUCCGAUAUAUGUACUAC
rnacentral:lncRNA from 1 species